rnacentral:lncRNA from 1 species
UGUUAAAAGAACAAAGAGACAAAUUUCGGUGACAUUGUCAAGUGCUAGAAAAAAGAAAAGGGAAAAGUGAAUGAGACCAUUAUCGAAAAAGAAUUGAUGUCCGGAGAUAGUAAAGGUAAAAUUAUAUUCUAAUCAUCUUUCUAAGAUUUGUCUUGUGUUAUAUAUAUUUCAUUUUUACAUGUGAAAUUCAUUUUUUAAAUUUUACAGAUGAAGGGGCUGAUAUUGCAGAUGAAGGGGCUGAUUCGAAUUCAAAAAGGAGUUGAAAGAGUGAUGAAGAAUAGGUUGCUUGUGAAAAUGCAUUUU